GUAUUUAUACCACUCUUUAUUAACAUUUUGGGGGUCAGAGCCAAAGAUGUACAGAAUUCAGCUAACUUUUCCCCAUGUUAGCAAGCUGAGUUGUACAGUAGUUGUACAGUGAGAGGAGUGACGCAAACACUAACUUUUCCCAAUUGAUUUACAGUAUCUGUGGCUCUGUGUGGUUGAGGUGAGAGGGGUUGUUGUAAGUCAUUAUAGACUUUGGAGUGACUCACACACUUUCUACAUCACAUCUCUGUGCGGGUGUGUGUGCAUGUGCCUGCAUUUCUUCCUGUGUGUGUGUGUGUGUGUGUGUGUGUGUGUGUGUGUGUGUGUGUGUGUGUGUGUGUGUGUGUGUGUGUAAUGGCGGUGCGGUGCCUGGCUGGGCCCAGGGAUCGGAGCGGAAGGGCAGAGUGGGGGUUGACGCUGCAGGGUUCAUGGACAGGAUUAGAGCCUACCACCGGGGGCAGUAUUGAUCAGCAUGGGGUGUCAGGACCAUCCGGCUCCAAGGAACUCAGAAUUGGACUGUACAUAUCGAGACCCACACACACACGUCAGAGGGCUGCAGCCCCAGGAGUAGGCCACGAGCCAGGUUGAGGAGGAGGGAAACAGACUGUGUGUGUGUGUGUGUGUGUGGGUGUGGUAAGUGUUUAUUUUUGUAGUUUGUAGAGGGGGGCAUGUGUACAUCCGGGUGUCUAUUUUUAUUGGUGCUGAGUGUGCGUUUUAGAAGGUGUUGAGUUGGCAUAUUGUGCUUGUCUGUUUCAGAUUCCCAUAGAUGCAUUAGGCCUAAACAUCAAAAGAUGAGGCCGUAAACUGACAUUAGAAUGAUUUGUUCCAAGACAGGCUCCACAGCCAAGAGAAUGGGGAAAGUCCAAAAAGUAAACCCUCAGGGUGUGGUCCAUGGCAUGUGGUCCAUGGCUCAGGGUGUGGUCCAUGGCUCUGGGUGUGGUCCAUGGCUCUGGGUGUGGUCCAUGGCUCUGGGUGUGAUCCAUGGCUCUGGGUGUGGUCCAUGGCUCAGGGUGUGGUCCAUGGCUCUGGGUGUGGUCCAUGGCUCUGGGUGUGGUCCAUGGCUCAGGGUGUGGUCCAUGGCUCUGGGUGUGGUCCAUGGCUCUGGGUGUGGUCCAUGGCUCAGGGUGUGGUCCAUGGCUCUGGGUGUGGUCCAUGGCUCUGGGUGUGGUCCAUGGCUCAGGGUGUGGUCCAUGGCUCUGGGUGUGGUCCAUGGCUCAGGGUGUGGUCCAUGGCUAUGUUAAAAGAGAUGGACAAGGACAUAUCCACCCUCCAAAAGAAUCUGAACCACUAUAAGGCCUGCGAGGGGAUGUGGAUGAAGUAAAUGGAAGAGCUCAAGAGGAGGGGGGUCACCACGUUCAAAACUAGAGACCUUGAAAUCUAUACUCUCAGGCAAUAGAAAGUAGAUCUGGAGAUGAGACUGAGGCAAGCAGAAGAAGGAGAGAUGUCCAGUCAGAACCAGAUAAAUGCUCUCCAGGAGAGCCUCCAGGCGAAGGAAGAAUAGUGGAUGGCCAGUCAGAACGAGCUCCAGGAGACCCUCCAGACUUUGGGGAAGCCGAUUCAUACCAAAUGCUGUCAAAAAUGGGACCCGAUGAGUCUCUGCUUGGCACUCAGCAUUAAAGAGAUAGCUUUGGGGUAAGGCCCUGCGAUAGACUAGCAUCCUGUCAUUUAUAUCAACAAUUAAAAAAUAAAGAUUGAAAAGAAUUAACAGCAGUGGUGUAAUGUGUCUUGGUAUUUGGUGUUUUGAUUCUGUUUGAAGAAUGAACAGAGCACCAAUAGUUCAUUGUCAUAGUUAGUUUGAGCCCUGUGCUUAUAGUCAAAGUAGGGGUGGUAUUGUCUCUUUUGGCAAUGCAGCACACACACUUUCAUCUAUCACUCACUCUGUCACUCACACACACUUUCAUCUCUCUCUCUGUCACACACACACACACAUUCAUCUCUCUUUGUCACUCACUCACACACCCUCGCUCUCUCUUUCUACACACACACACACACACACACACACACACACACACACAGGCAUCACUGCACAGACUCAGUGUAGCUUUCCUCUUUGCUUGUUCUCUCAUCAUAA
ensembl:lncRNA